rnacentral:rRNA from 1 species
GGGGAAUAUUGGACAAUGGGGGAAACCCUGAUCCAGCAAUGCCGCGUGGGUGAUGAAGGCCUUCGGGUUGUAAAGCCCUUUCGGCGGGGACGAUGAUGACGGUACCCGCAGAAGAAGCCCCGGCUAACUUCGUGCCAGCAGCCGCGGUAAUACGAAGGGGGCUAGCGUUGUUCGGAAUUACUGGGCGUAAAGGGCGCGUAGGCGGCUCUGUGCGUCGUGCGUGAAAGGCCUGGGCUCAACCCAGGAAUGGCGCUCGAUACGACGGAGCUAGAGUGCAGGAGAGGAUGGUGGAAUUCCCAGUGUAGAGGUGAAAUUCGUAGAUAUUGGGAAGAACACCGGUGGCGAAGGCGGCCAUCUGGACUGCAACUGACGCUGAGGCGCGAAAGCGUGGGGAGCAAAC